rnacentral:rRNA from 1 species
UUUAACUGAGCGUUCAGUUACUUGACGUAGACCCGAAACCGGGCGACCUACCCAUGAGCAGGAUGAAGCGAAAGUAAAAUUUCGUGGAGGUCCGAACCCACGAGCGUUGAAAAGCUCGGGGAUGACUUGUGGGUAGCGGUGAAAUUCCAAUCGAGCCCGGAGAUAGCUGGUUCUCCCCGAAAUAGCUUUAGGGCUAGCCUCAAGGUGAGAGAUACGGAGGUAGAGCACUGAAUGUCCUAGGGGGUAUUGCACCUACCGAAGACUAUCAAACUCCGAAUGCCGUCAUCUUAUACUUGGGAGUCAGACUGUGGGUGAUAAGAUUCAUAGUCGAAAGGGCAACAGCCCAGAUCGUCAGCUAAGGUCCCUAAAUGUAAGUUAAGUGGUAAAGGAUGUGGGAUUGCACAGACAACCAGGAUGUUGGCUUAGAAGCAGCCACUCAUUCAAAGAGUGCGUAAUAGCUCACUGGUCGAGUGAUCCUGCGCCGAAGAUUUCCGGGGCUAAAACUUACUACCGAAGCUACGGCAUCAGUAAUGAUGGGUAGGGGAGCUUCCCAUACGGGUUGAAGCAUGACCGUAAGGACAUGUGGACAGUAUGGGAGUGAGAAUGUUGGCAUGAGUAGCGAGAUGUGGGUGAGAAUCCCACAGGCCGUAAACCCAAGGUUUCCAGGGGAAGGUUCGUCCGCCCUGGGUUAGUCGGGA